GUGACUACCCUUUUUCAUAUAUACAUAUAUAUAAUUUGCUUUGUUGCUUUUGCUAUAUAUAGCCUAGCUAGCUAGGAGUAUAUUGUUUUCUUCUUGGCUCUUUUUUUCCCCUUUUUCAAUACAGGGUCCCGUGUUUAAACCUCUCUUCGUGGCUUGUUUUGCUAGUCCAGCCACUCCCAGGAAGCAAUUUAAUAGUAUUGCUUAAAUGUACUAGUAUUACUUAAAUGUUACUAGUAUGAGUGUGAGUUUAACGGAGAUGUAUCUAAAAAUUGAUAGACUGCAUCAAUGUAUUUUACUAUUGAUCGUGAAACUAAAGAUCUACAGUAUUAGGUUUAAGCCUCGUUCGGUUUACUAAAUUUGAUGGUUAAACUCUGGUUUAUGAUUUUUGAAUAUGGGUUCUUUAUGUAAGUUUAUACAUUUCAAGUGGAAUGAAGACAAAACAUUCUUCGUUUUGCUCUGUGGAUUCUGGAUUUAAAAUCAAAAAGAUCACGUCUAUAUUGGCACUCUUUUAUCCUCUUGCUGUAGAAGUUUCAUCUUAACAGUGAGUUUUACCCUAACAGCGAGGCUUACUUUGUUACAUGAUUUUGUUUAUUUUUCAAUGGAGGUCUGGUCCGCUUUCUUUAGUCGAAAUCAUUUCAGACCUUCCUUUAUGUUUGAUGAUGUUGUUGUGUGGCUAGUUUCUGUUGUGACUACAAGAGGAGUAAAGCCUAUAUUACUUGUGGCGUGAAAGGAAUGCGCGUCUUUAUACCUCUGUUUUGAAACCGCUUUCUAGUGAAGGAAAUUCAGUUGCAAAGCAGGGCUUGUCUUCUUGGUCUUUAAUUCUUCAUAAGGAGGUUUACUAAGAAAAGGAUAUCCACUCUAUCGAUGACUACGGCCAACAACAGCCACUCUCACCGCACUCUUUUGUCUGUGUGGUUUGAUAAUUUUUAAAUGUGAUCCAAUUUGUGCUCACAAAAGUUUCUAAGUACUUUUCAUUUCUGAACUUACGAUUUGUAUGAUGUUGUAAUUAUGCCUCUAUUUAGGGAAGAUGAAUAAAUGAAAAGGUACAACAAAGUAUAAUAUCUUUUUCUUUAUCUCUCUCUAAGAAUUUCCUCCAACCUCUCACUAAAAAGCUCUGACAUCUCCUUCCGUUCACCGGCUCCAGCUGCUCUCAUAGAGCCGGGGUCGGGUUUAGAUUCUCUCUUUUGAUAAAAAUAUUCUGAUUUCACUCCUUUCUCAGCGGUAGAUUUUUCUAGAUCCAGAUCUAGUUUCGAUCCGUACCGGAAUGAUUGCGAGUGAGUUAUCUUGGUUGCUUCACUGGUUCGGUCUUCUGUCUCAUGUCUCUGUGCAUGCGUCAGAAUCUGGUGUUGAAGGCAUUCGCUCCUUGUCAUUAACCUUAAGAUCUGAUCGAGAUCUGUUUCUUUCGCAAGCUUCAAACAGGUGUUUCAAGUCGUCAUCCCUUCGACUCCGCCGUAUCCGGUUUGUAGACAAGAAAAUAAAUUUUUCCUUUGUUUUCCCGGUUCUUGUUGCUUUGGACUAUCAAUUGUUUGGGCCAUUCACUAUAGGAGGUUUCUCUAUCGGUGGUUUGAUCAAAGCUUAUCUCCAUCGUCUCUCCAAGGUUCUCAUUCUAAGUCCACAUGCAAUUUGUUCUAUCUCCAUUCUGGAUCUGUUUUAUCUGUUCAUGAUGUUCUAGUUGUAAGCUUGUAUUGUAUUUUUCUUUCGGUUAGUUUUAAGUUUUUAUAUUGUCUCCCUCUUGUGGGCUUAUGAUUCUGGGGAUGUUUGUCUACUCCGCCGGCCUAUUAUUCCGGGAUUACUUGUAAUCGCCGGCCUAGUUUGUAACAAUGGUGUUGAAGCUAAUAUAAAAUGAUCUUUAGUGUUAAAAAAAAAA